rnacentral:rRNA from 1 species
GACGAACGCUGGCGGCGUGCCUAAUACAUGCAAGUAGGACGCAGUUGCGAACGGGUGAGUAAAGCGUAGGUAAAUACAUGUUAGAGGGGGGUAACUAUUGGAAAAGAUAGCUAAUACCGCAUACUAGUAGAUGGACCUGCGUUGUAUUAGCUAGUAGGUAGGGUAAUGGCCUACCUAGGCAACGAUACAUAGCCGAGCUGAGAGGGUGAUCGGCCACACGGGGACUUGGACACGGCCCAGACUCCUUACGGAGGCAGCAGUAGGGAAUCUUCGGCAAUGGGGGGAACCCUGACCGAGCAACGCCGCGUGAUUGAAGAAGGUUUUCGGAUCUUAAAGCUCUGUUGUUAAGGAAGCGGUACUUAACCAGAAAGGGACGGCUAACUACGUGCCAGCAGCCGCGGUAAUUC